rnacentral:lncRNA from 1 species
AGAAGAGUUAAAAGAAGAUAUUCUUCCAUAGAAAUAAUCGUAUAGUAUCAUGUUACUAAAGUGUACCAUAUCUAAGUUAUUAGACUUGCUGUAUAAGCAUACCUGUGCAGCAGCUACUGUAUAGUGAGAGCUACCAAACCUCAAAUUUAAACAUUUCCCUUCAUGGAAAAGUUACUAUAUUUUGUAAGAAACCACUGAACAUUGUCAUUAAAUAUUUUUUUCAGCAAAGUAUCAUUUAGGAAAAUUUUCUUGAAGCAAACUCUAUCAAGUUCUAAGUCCUAGCAUUGAGUGAAUUUGAUAUUAUGGCAGCAACUUACAGACUCGUGGUUAGCACUGUGAACCAUUAUAGCAGUGUAGUGAUAGACCGGCGUUUUGAACAAGCCAUACAUUAUUGCACUGGAACCUGCCAUACCUUCACACAUGGAAUAGACUGCAUUGUAGUGCAUCAUAGUGUUUGUGCAGACCUUUUGCACAUCCCUGUGUCUCAGUUCAAAGAUGUGGAUCUGAACUCUGUGUUUUUGUCUCAUGAAAAUGGCCUUUCCUCAGCUGAAGACUAUCCCCAUCAGGCCCUCACAGGAAUACCCAGGUCCAAGAGAGCAUCCACAUUUCAGAAUACCUGUAACUUAAAGGACAUUGCAGGAGAAGCAAUCAGCUUUGCCAGUGGGAAAAUAAAAGAAUUUUCCCUUGAAAAACUCAGAAAUUCAAAUCAUGCAGCUUACAAAAA